rnacentral:rRNA from 1 species
CCUACGGGUGGCAGCAGUGAGGAAUAUUGGUCAAUGGACGAGAGUCUGAACCAGCCAAGUAGCGUGAAGGAUGACUGCCCUAUGGGUUGUAAACUUCUUUUAUAAAGGAAUAAAACGAGGCACGUGUGCCUUUUUGCAUGUACUUUAUGAAUAAGGAUCGGCUAACUCCGUGCCAGCAGCCGCGGUAAUACGGAGGGUCCGAGCGUUAUCCGGAUUUAUUGGGUUUAAAGGGAGCGUAGAUGGGUUGUUAAGUCAGUUGUGAAAUUUUGCGGCUCAACCGUAAAAUUGCAAUUGAUACUGGCAGUCUUGAGUACAGGUGAGGUAGGCGGAAUUCGUGGUGUAGCGGUGAAAUGCUUAGAUAUAACGAAGAACCCCGAUUGCGAAGGCAGCUUACUAAACUGUGACUGACAUUGAUGCUCGAAAGUGUGGGUAUCAAACAGGAUUAGAUACCCCGGUAGUC